GGAUCAAGCCAGCCUGGAGGCUGAGAGGCAGAAGGUCAACUCUCUGGUGAGGAACCUCCAGACGGAGCUUCAAGAAAGCCAAGAGGAAGGAGAUCACUGGAAGGAGAUGUUCCAAAAAAACAAGGAGGAGCUGCGUAAUGUGAAACAAGAGCUGAUGCAGGUCAAGGUGGAACGUGAGGAGUUUGAGGAGGAGCUGAAGGAAACCCGCGAGCGCUUUGCAGCCAUGCGGCAGGAGAUGGACCA